rnacentral:rRNA from 1 species
CCUACGGGCGGCAGCAGUGGGGAAUAUUGCACAAUGGAGGAAACCCUGAUGCAGCGACGCCGCGUGAGUGAAGAAGUAUUUCGGUACUUUAAGCUCUAUUAGCAUGGAAGAAAAUGACGGUACCUGACUAAGAAGCCCCAUCUAACUACGUGCAAGCAUCCGCGUUAAUACGUAGGGGGCAAGCGUUAUCCGGAGUUACUGGGUGUAAAGGGAGCGUAGGCGGCAGCGCAAGUCUGGAGUGAAAUCCCAUGGCUUAACCAUGGAACUGCUUUGGAAACUGUGCAGCUAGAGUGCAGGAGAGGUAAGCGGAAUUCAUAGUGUAGCGGUGAAAUGCGUAGAUAUUAGGAGGAACACCAGUGGCGAAGGCGGCUUACUGGACUGUAACUGACGUUGAGGCUCGAAAGCGUGGGGAGCAAACAGGAUUAGAUACCCUUGUAGUC